CCUACGGGAGGCAGCAGUGAGGAAUAUUGGUCAAUGGUCGGAAGCCUGAACCAGCCAAGUAGCGUGCAGGAUGACGGCCCUACGGGUUGUAAACUGCUUUUAUACGGGAAUAACGUGCCUUACGUGUAGGGUUUUGUAUGUACCGCAUGAAUAAGGACCGGCUAAUUCCGUGCCAGCAGCCGCGGUAAUACGGAAGGUCCGGGCGUUAUCCGGAUUUAUUGGGUUUAAAGGGAGCGUAGGCCGCAUGUCAAGCGUGCUGUGAAAUGCCGGGGCUCAACCCGGGCACUGCGGCGCGAACUGGCUUGCUUGAGUGCGCGGAACGCAGGCGGAAUUCGUGGUGUAGCGGUGAAAUGCUUAGAUAUGACGAAGAACCCCGAUUGCGAAGGCAGCUUGCGGCAGCGGUACUGACGCUGAAGCUCGAAGGCGCGGGUAUCGAACAGGAUUAGAUACCCUUGUAGUC
rnacentral:rRNA from 1 species